rnacentral:rRNA from 1 species
AGAGUUUGAUCAUGGCUCAGAUUGAACGCUGGCGGCAGGCUUAACACAUGCAAGUCGAACGAUGACUAACUAGCUUGCUAGUUAUGAUUAGUGGCGGACGGGUGAGUAAUAUUUAGGAAUCUGCCUAGUAGUGGGGGAUAGCUCGGGGAAACUCGAAUUAAUACCGCAUACGACCUACGGGUGAAAGGGGGCGCAAGCUCUUGCUAUUAGAUGAGCCUAAAUCAGAUUAGCUAGUUGGUGGGGUAAAGGCCCACCAAGGCGACGAUCUGUAACUGGUCUGAGAGGAUGAUCAGUCACACCGGAACUGAGACGCGGUCCGGACUCCUACGGGAGGCAGCAGUGGGGAAUAUUGGACAAUGGGGGCAACCCUGAUCCAGCCAUGCCGCGUGUGUGAAGAAGGCCUUUUGGUUGUAAAGCACUUUAAGCAGGGAGGAGAGGCUAAUGGUUAAUACCCAUUAGAUUAGACGUUACCUGCAGAAUAAGCACCGGCUAACUCUGUGCCAGCAGCCGCGGUAAUACAGAGGGUGCGAGCGUUAAUCGGAAUUACUGGGCGUAAAGCGAGUGUAGGUGGCUCAUUAAGUCACAUGUGAAAUCCCCGGGCUUAACCUGGGAACUGCAUGUGAUACUGGUGGUGCUAGAAUAUGUGAGAGGGAAGUAGAAUUCCAGGUGUAGCGGUGAAAUGCGUAGAGAUCUGGAGGAAUACCGAUGGCGAAGGCAGCUUCCUGGCAUAAUAUUGACACUGAGAUUCGAAAGCGUGGGUAGCAAACAGGAUUAGAUACCCUGGGUAGUCCACGCCGUAAACGAUGUCUACUAGCCGUUGGGGUCCUUGAGACUUUAGUGGCGCAGUUAACGCGAUAAGUAAGACUCGCCUGGGGGAGUACGGCGCAAGGGUUAAAACUUCAAAUGAAAUUUGACGGGGGCCCGCACAAGCGGUGGAAGCAUGGUGGUUAAAUCGAUGCACGCGAAGAAUCUUUACCUUGGUCUUUGGACAUAGGUGGAAGAAAUCUGCCAGAGAUGCGGGAGGUGCUUCGGUAAAUUCACGAUUACA